UUGGAGGGCAAGUCUGGUGCCAGCAGCCGCGGUAAUUCCAGCUCCAAUAGCGUAUAUUAAAGUUGUUGCAGUUAAAAAGCUCGUAGUUGAAUUUCGAGAUCAAUUUGUCGGUCGUGCCUCGGUAUGUACUGGCAUUAUUGAUUUCUCCCUUCUGAAGAACCGCGAUGUCAUUAAUUUGGUGUCGUGGGGAAUCAGGACUGUUACUUUGAAAAAAUUAGAGUGUUUAAAGCAGGCGCACGCUUGAAUACAUUAGCAUGGAAUAAUGAAAUAGGACGUUUGAUUCUAUUUUGUUGGUUUCUAGGAUCGACGUAAUGAUUAAUAGGGAUAGUUGGGGGCAUUAGUAUUCAAUUGUCAGAGGUGAAAUUCUUGGAUUUAUUGAAGACAAACUACUGCGAAAGCAUUUGCCAAGGAUGUUUUCAUUAAUCAAGAACGAAAGAUAGGGGAUCGAAGACGAUCAGAUACCGUCGUAGUCUUAACCAUAAACUAUGCCGACUAGGGAUCGGAUGAUGUUAAUUUUUUAAUGACUCAUUCGGCGCCUUACGGGAAACCAAAGUGUUUGGGUUC
rnacentral:rRNA from 1 species